UCGUAACAAGGUCUCCGUAGGUGAACCUGCGGAGGGAUCAUUACACAAAUAUGAAGGCGGGCUGGAACCUCUCGGGGUUACAGCCUUGCUGAAUUAUUCACCCUUGUCUUUUGCGUACUUCUUGUUUCCUUGGUGGGUUCGCCCACCACUAGGACAAACAUAAACCUUUUGUAAUUGCAAUCAGCGUCAGUAACAAAUUAAUAAUUACAACUUUCAACAACGGAUCUCUUGGUUCUGGCAUCGAUGAAGAACGCAGCGAAAUGCGAUAAGUAGUGUGAAUUGCAGAAUUCAGUGAAUCAUCGAAUCUUUGAACGCACAUUGCGCCCUUUGGUAUUCCAAAGGGCAUGCCUGUUCGAGCGUCAUUUGUACCCUCAAGCUUUGCUUGGUGUUGGGCGUCUUGUCUCUAGCUUUGCUGGAGACUCGCCUUAAAGUAAUUGGCAGCCGGCCUACUGGUUUCGGAGCGCAGCACAAGUCGCACUCUCUAUCAGCAAAGGUCUAGCAUCCAUUAAGCCUUUUUUUCAACUUUUGACCUCGGAUCAGGUAGGGAUACCCGCUGAACUUAAGCA
rnacentral:rRNA from 1 species